rnacentral:tRNA from 1 species
AGAGACUUAGGAUAAUAAGACCAAAAGCCUUCAAAGCUUUAAGCAGGAGUUAAAUUCUCCUAGUCCCUG